UACGUAGGGUGCAAGCGUUAUCCGGAAUUACUGGGCGUAAAGCGUGCGCAGGCGGUUUCGUAAGUCUGUCGUGAAAUCCCCGGGCUUAACCUGGGAAUGGCGAUGGAGACUGCGAGGCUAGAGUUUGGCAGAGGGGGGUAGAAUUCCACGUGUAGCAGUGAAAUGCGUAGAGAUGUGGAGGAACACCGAUGGCGAAGGCAGCCCCCUGGGUCAAAACUGACGCUCAUGCACGAAAGCGUGGGGAGCAAACAGG
rnacentral:rRNA from 1 species